rnacentral:misc_RNA from 1 species
UUUCCGUAGGUGAACCUGCGGAAGGAUCAUUAACGAGUUAGGGUCUUCUAGGCCUGAUCUCCCAACCCUUUGUUUACUGAACCUUUUGUUGCUUCGGCGCGCCCGUCUUCAUUGACCGCCGGAGGAUUAGCUGAGAGGCGGCCUCCGGUCAGUGUUCGCCGAUAGCCAAAUCUCUUAAAUCAUGAAUAAAACCGUGUCGUAUGUCUAAGUAAAUGAUUAAAUAAAAGCAAAACUCUCAACAACGGAUCUCUUGGUUCUG